rnacentral:tRNA from 2 species
CAAGGUAUAGCUUAAUAGAAAGUUUCCCACUUACACUGGGACGAAGAUCAUGGGAAUUGAUCUACCCUGA